GGGCCCUAGCUUAGUGGUAAAGCAUCUGCUUUGCAUGCAGAAGGUUCCAGGUUCAAUUCCUGGCAUCUCCA